rnacentral:rRNA from 1 species
CAGUCGUACCGACGAGAAAUCAGCUUAUCGUGUGUUAACUUGUGGGCGUGCGUGAGUUUCGGCCUCGCUGUUUGCAUGUUUGUGCGCUUUGGGUGUACUUUUUCGUAUGGUUGGCCAACAUCAGUUUCGAUCACUAUAAAAUGACUGGCGGAAUGUAGCUUCGAUUUCGGUUGAAGUGUUAUAGCCUCUGGUAGAUGUGGUAAAUUGGGGACUGAGGAUUGCAACGAAUAUCCUUUGGGCUAUCCGUCUGGCCUCUGAAAGUUGCUUGGGUGCUGAAAGCUUGCUUAUGGUUAUCUAAGUUAACGGUCAAUAGGUUAGAACGUGAUUACAUUCGUUAAGGAUGUUGGCGUAAUGGCUUUAACGACCCGUCUUAGAAACACGGACCAAGGGACGUACUAACAUAUGUGCG